rnacentral:rRNA from 1 species
AUUGAACGCUGGCGGAAUGCUUUACACAUGCAAGUCGAACGGCAGCACGGGGGCAACCCUGGUGGCGAGUGGCGGACGGGUGAGUAAUACAUCGGAACGUGCCCGGUCGUGGGGGAUAACGUAGCGAAAGUUACGCUAAUACCGCAUACGAUCUGAGGAUGAAAGCGGGGGACCUUCGGGCCUCGCGCGAUCGGAGCGGCCGAUGUCAGAUUAGUUAGUUGGUGGGGUAAAGGCCUACCAAGCCGACGAUCUGUAGCUGGUCUGAGAGGACGACCAGCCACACUGGGACUGAGACACGGCCCAGGCUCCUACGGGAGGCAGCAGUGGGGAAUUUUGGACAAUGGGCGCAAGCCUGAUCCAGCCAUUCCGCGUGCAGGACGAAGGCCUUCGGGUUGUAAACUGCUUUUGUAUGGAACGAAAAGGCUCUGGCUAAUACCUGGGGCUCAUGACGGUACCGUAAGAAUAAGCACCGGCUAACUACGUG